rnacentral:rRNA from 1 species
AACGCUAGCUACAGGCUUAACACAUGCAAGUCGAGGGGCAGCAUGGUCUUAGCUUGCUAAGGCCGAUGGCGACCGGCGCACGGGUGAGUAACACGUAUCCAACCUGCCGUCUACUCUUGGACAGCCUUCUGAAAGGAAGAUUAAUACAAGAUGGCAUCAUGAGUCCGCAUGUUCACAUGAUUAAAGGUAUUCCGGUAGACGAUGGGGAUGCGUUCCAUUAGAUAGUAGGCGGGGUAACGGCCCACCUAGUCUUCGAUGGAUAGGGGUUCUGAGAGGAAGGUCCCCCACAUUGGAACUGAGACACGGUCCAAACUCCUACGGGAGGCAGCAGUGAGGAAUAUUGGUCAAUGGGCGAGAGCCUGAACCAGCCAAGUAGCGUGAAGGAUGACUGCCCUAUGGGUUGUAAACUUCUUUUAUAAAGGAAUAAAGUCGGGUAUGGAUACCCGUUUGCAUGUACUUUAUGAAUAAGGAUCGGCUAACUCCGUGCCAGCAGCCGCGGUAAUACGGAGGAUCCGAGCGUUAUCCGGAUUUAUUGGGUUUAAAGGGAGCGUAGAUGGAUGUUUAAGUCAGUUGUGAAAGUUUGCGGCACAACCGUAAAAUUGCAGUUGAUACUGGAUAUCUUGAGUGCAGUUGAGGCAGGCGGAAUUCGUGGUGUAGCGGUGAAAUGCUUAGAUAUCACGAAGAACUCCGAUUGCGAAGGCAGCCUGCUAAGCUGCAACUGACAUUGAGGCUCGAAAGUGUGGGUAUCAAACAGGAUUAGAUACCCUGGUAGUCCACACGGUAAACGAUGAAUACUCGCUGUUUGCGAUAUACAGCAAGCGGCCAAGCGAAAGCGUUAAGUAUUCCACCUGGGGAGUACGCCGGCAACGGUGAAACUCAAAGGAAUUGACGGGGGCCCGCACAAGCGGAGGAACAUGUGGUUUAAUUCGAUGAUACGCGAGGAACCUUACCCGGGCUUAAAUUGCAGAUGAAUUACGGUGAAAGCCGUAAGCCGCAAGGCAUCUGUGAAGGUGCUGCAUGGUUGUCGUCAGCUCGUGCCGUGAGGUGUCGGCUUAAGUGCCAUAACGAGCGCAACCCUUGUUGUCAGUUACUAACAGGUUCCGCUGAGGACUCUGACAAGACUGCCAUCGUAAGAUGUGAGGAAGGUGGGGAUGACGUCAAAUCAGCACGGCCCUUACGUCCGGGGCUACACACGUGUUACAAUGGGGGGUACAGAGGGCCGCUACCACGCGAGUGGAUGCCAAUCCCCAAAACCUCUCUCAGUUCGGACUGGAGUCUGCAACCCGACUCCACGAAGCUGGAUUCGCUAGUAAUCGCGCAUCAGCCACGGCGCGGUGAAUACGUUCCCGGGCCUUGUACACACCGCCCGUCAAGCCAUGGGAGCCGGGGGUACCUGAAGUGCGUAACCGCGAGGAGCGCCCUAGGGUAAAACUGGUGACUGGG